UAAAAAAAAUAGAAAAAUUCUGUUUUGAAAAAACUAGGUGCGGGCAGGUCCGUCGAAACAAGGAAUCAAAUUGGUGUGGCCUUACCAUAAAAUACAGAUCACGUUUUAAUUUUGGUGGUGUUGCUUAAACCAUUACAGAGUUAUGCCCAUUUACAAACGAAACAAGAGUGCACACGCUGAAAUGUCUUGUCUUCUUUACUUAUCAUUGAUAUUAUGUUGAUAGUCUUAAAUAAAAAAGCUUUCCUACAACCAUUACAUCAACUUAAAAUGAUCCAUGAAAAUGAGGUCAAGGUCAUAUAAACCAAAUUGGAAAUACAUGUACACUAAUUAUAGUUGAACUAUUGCUUAUUGACACCUGCCAGCUAGACAUGUACACCUUACAAUCUUUCCAUACACCAAAUAUAGUAAACCUAUUGCAAACAGUAUAGGAAAAACAGAGCAAAACACAAAAACUUAACUAUAACCACUGAACCAUGACAAAAAGGCCAAGGGCAGGUGUCACCUGCCAGUUGGACAUGUACACCUUACAAUCAUUUCAUACACCGAAUAUACUAGACAUAUUGCCUUUAGUAUCUGAGAUAUAGACUUGACCACCAAAACUGAACCUUGAUCACUGAUCCAUGAAUUGAGGUCAAGGUAUAAUGAAAACUGUCUGACGGGCAUGAGGACCUUGCAAGGUAUGCACAUACCAAAUAUAGUUAUCCUUUAACUCAUUUAUUAAGAGAGAAAUUAACAUUACAAAAAAAUACUUUUUUUUUUAAAGUAGUCACUGAACCAUGAAACUGAGGUCAAAGACAAUUGACAUGAGACAGACAGAAACGUCGUAACAUGAGGCAUGUAUAUACAAAGUAUGAAGCAUCCAGGUCUUCCACCUUAAUAUUAAGCUUUUUAAAAGUUAGCUAAUGCUGCUGUCAGAUCACUAUCCCUAUUUCGAGCU
rnacentral:lncRNA from 1 species